rnacentral:tRNA from 1 species
GCCUUCGUGGCUCAGCUGGUUAGAGCGCCGGUCUCAUAUAUCACUAUAAUAAUGUGACCAUUCGAUGAGAAUGGGCCAUCCGGAGAUCGCCAGUUCGAUCCUGGCCGAGGGCA